UACGUAGGGGGCAAGCGUUGUCCGGAUUUAUUGGGCGUAAAGAGCGUGUAGGCGGCCAGGUAGGUCCGCUGUGAAAACUCGAGGCUUAACCUCGAGAUGUCGGUGGAAACCAUCUGGCUAGAGUCCGGAAGAGGAGAGUGGAAUUCCUGGUGUAGCGGUGGAAUGCGCAGAUAUCAGGAAGAACACCAACGGCGAAGGCAGCUCGCUGGGACGGGACUGACGCUGAGGCGCGAAAGCGUGGGGAGCGAACAGG
rnacentral:rRNA from 1 species